GACGAACCGUCCAAACGUUAUUCGGAAUUACUGGGCUUAAAGGGUUCGUAGGCGGCUUUGUAAGUGAGAUGUGAAAUCCCACGGCCCAACCGUGGAAGUGCAUUUCAUACUGCAAGGCUUGAGGGAGACAGAGGUAAGCGGAACUGAUGGUGGAGCGGUGAAAUGCGUUGAUAUCAUCAGGAACACCGGUGGCGAAAGCGGCUUACUGGGUCUCUUCUGACGCUGAGGAACGAAAGCCAGGGGAGCGAACGGG
rnacentral:rRNA from 1 species